rnacentral:lncRNA from 1 species
AAUUGCGAACCGUGUCUCGGGAGCGUUAGAGAUGGAGACUAACGUCUUUCAAGGGAGAUUGCGUCUCCACUUUCACCCUGGUACUGAGAGAUUGAGCACAAAAUUGGAACGCAGUCGCGGGGUAUAUCCCCCUGAAAACCGUACGUUGCCAAAUAAUGAUUUCUUUGGAUUAGAGAACUACAACUCCCCUGGGUCCUGAGCCGGUAUUUCCCUUUUGCGGCUGCACCGUAGUUAAAAACAAAGCUAAGUGUUCUGGGACGUAUAGUUCUAGCGUUCCUUGGGUCCCGCUGGCGAGCGUGGGCUUUCUGCAGCUCGCAACCGGCCUCGUGCUUUGCGGACGGUUCACUGCGCUUGGAAAGGGAUUGGCCUGGGGUACAUCAUCUAAAGAUCCUAGGAUUGCUGCAGGUCAGCAGUCUCCACUGGAAAAAAAGAUCUUGCAUGUAUUUCAAGUCCUCUGAUGAAUCAUGUGAUCUACUAGACCCUGAAGAUACAGUGAAGAGCAAAAGAACACGGAUGAAAUGAGAAACAAAAACGAUGGAGAAAACCAAAAAAGGGGACACAUGGGAUCCAGGCAAUAGGAGAGCCAGCAUAAGAGAGAGGCAGAGGGAUGCCCAGGAUGAGGUGAAGACGAUCUUGGAAAUCAGCCCAGAUGUGCAUGCACCAGUCCACGUGUGGCAGGACCAAGGGAAGUGUCUUCACAAAGAUGAGGGGUACACUCCUUUGGAAACCAGAACCUCGUAUCCUGCACAGCCCAGUGUUGGGAGAUAAAAUAUGCGAAAUACCCCAUUGAGUGAAUCUAAGAGAUUGGACAUGGAGCCAAACCUGCUUCCGCCUUUUGAUUUCUGGACACACAUGUUCUUCCUAUUGAGAACACAGAACUCUAGAGACGUCUCUGAUUCAAACAAUGCACUGUGUCCUGAAAGAUGGCACCCACCCCUCAGAGUGCUUCCUCCAGGCUGGCACUGAGUUGUGCCUGUAGAAGACCUGUCCAGCCUUCCUUGUGGCUGGCAGCUCCUGGGUAGUGCAGAUGGUGAUAGGAUUAGUGGAACCCACAGCCGUGGAAACACUGAAACUUUCCCUGCAAAGUGGGUCCUUCAGGCAGAUAAUGGGCUAGGAGCACUGCCUAGCCUGCAGACCAGGAAUGUCAACAGCACCCAGAGAGUGGUGCUGGCUGUGUCUGAGAGCAGGACAGGAAAACCCACCCAUAGAAUCGGUACCUAACCCUGUGAAGAUGAAACUCUGGCACUUCCAGGUUGGAAGUAGCUAAAUGUAGUCAACUUGUUACUUAAUGGGUAGUCAUGUAAAGAAAUAGUGCCCCACUAGGGCACAUCAUGGGCCUCAAUUGCUGAUGAGUUGGACAUUCAGAGGUGGCAGCAGCUGGAUCUGCCUUGGUGUGGGGGAGUCAGUGCUGCUGGCCCCUUACGGAGCCUCAUGCCUGCCACUGUGGUUGCUCCAUUCAUGCACUCAUCCUACCAGGCCUGGGCUGACCCAUGGUGAAAGCUGGCUAACUGCCAUUUGUCUGUUUGGUAGUUCAGUGCCACUUCAGACUUGGGUGUUUUCUGUGGGUGUCAACAAGGGAUUCAAGCUCAACCCAGGUGGACUGUUUUCACCUGAUCAUGAAAGCUGUUGGGCCUGUACCAUCUAUGACUUUGUGGGUCACACAGGCACUUGGAACCCCGUAGUUGCUUGGUAUCCCGUGGUCAAGCAUUCUAUUGAAUCAGGACAAGGAACACUAAAAGUUGCUUCUAACAGGGGGCAUGUGUCUCUGCUGUGGAUGACAUGAUCUUACUCCAGAAUCCCAGGCCCUCCACUGUGACUCUCCCACUGGUGCUUGGUUCAGCUCCAUCCUGUGUCUUUCCCCACCACUGGCACCACCAGCCCCAGGGGGUCUGAGGGAUGGUGGCUGCUUGUACCAUGGCCUGGAUCUGCUGCAGGGUCCUUUCCUGUGUAGGCCCCACUUGAAGCUGGCAUCCUCCUAUGUCACCUAGACUGUGGACCAAAGCAAAAUGUCUACAUGUGAAAUGUGGUGUUGUUAUAAUUCAAAGAGGCUCACCAAGCAGUGUGCUUCCUUGCUUCUGGUGAGGAUGCAAGAUGCAACAGUUUUUCUUUUACCUUGGAGGGGACACACCUGCAUUCCCCUAAACACUUGGCACUUGUUCACCCAUAAAACUUCACUUCGGUGCCCACCUUUGAAGCUGUAUAAGGUUUAUCUUCACCUUGUGGGGUGCGUGCGUUUUGCAAAGGACUACAGUGCACUUUCUUCCUGCUGCUCAUCUACUCCAGUCAACAUGAAGUUGUCAAUGAAAUGUGCUGAUUUAAUAUCCUAAAGGAUAUGCAGUAUGUCCAGUACAGUCUUAAGCCUAUACUAUAGAGGGCACAGGUGUUACAAUAGCCCUGAGGCAAACAAUAAAUAAAUGUGUCGUUGAUUCCA